rnacentral:rRNA from 1 species
GUGGGCAACCUGCCCAAAAGAGGGGGAUAACACUUGGAAACAGGUGCUAAUACCGCAUAACCAUAGUUACCGCAUGGUAACUAUGUAAAAGGUGGCUAUGCUACCGCUUUUGGAUGGGCCCGCGGUGCAUUAGCUAGUUGGUGGGGUAAAGGCUUACCAAGGCAAUGAUGCGUAGCCGAACUGAGAGGUUGAUCGGCCACAUUGGGACUGANACACGGCCCAAACUCCUACGGGAGGCAGCAGUAGGGAACCUUCCACAAUGGGCGAAAGCCUGAUGGAGCAACGCCGCGUGGGUGAAGAAGGUCUUCGGAUCGUAAAACCCUGUUGUUAGAGAAAAAAGUGCGUGAGAGUAACUGUUCACGUUUCGACGGUNUCUAACCAGAAAGCCACGGCUAACUACGUGCCAGCAGCCGCGGUAAUACGUAGGUGGCAAGCGUUAUCCGGAUUUAUUGGGCGUAAAGGGAACGCAGGCGGUCUUUUAAGUCUGAUGUGAAAGCCUUCGGCUUAACCG